CUUGCGGUUUAAUUGGAUUCAACGCCGGAAAUCUUACCGGACCGACAGCAAUAUGAAGGCCAGGCUGAAGACUUUGCCGGAUUAGCUGAGAGGAGGUGCAUGGCCGUCGUCAGUUCGUACUGUGAAGCAUCCUGUUAAGUCAGGCAACGAGCGAGACCCACGCCAACAGUUGCCAGCUCGUCCUCCGGGAUGGUGGGGACACUGUUGGGACCGCCUCUGCUAAAGAGGAGGAAGGAAUGGGCAACGGUAGGUCAGCAUGCCCCGAAUUAUCUGGGCUACACGCGGGCUACAAUGGGUGGGACAAUGGGUAUCGACACCGAAAGGUGAAGGCAAUCUCCUAAACCCAUCCGUAGUUCGGAUUGUGGGCUGCAACUCGCCCACAUGAAGCUGGAAUCUGUAGUAAUCGUGUCUCAAAAUGGCACGGUGAAUAUGUCCCUGCUCCUU
rnacentral:rRNA from 1 species